rnacentral:rRNA from 1 species
AUUGAACGCUGGCGGAAUGCUUUACACAUGCAAGUCGAGCGGCAGCGCGGGGGCAACCCUGGCGGCGAGCGGCGAACGGGUGAGUAAUACAUCGGAACGUGUCCUUAAGUGGGGGAUAGCUCGGCGAAAGCCGGAUUAAUACCGCAUAAGCUCUGAGGAGGAAAGCGGGGGCUCCGUAAGGACCUCGCGCUGUUGGAGCGGCCGAUGUCGGAUUAGCUAGUUGGUGGGGUAAAGGCCCACCAAGGCGACGAUCCGUAGCUGGUCUGAGAGGAUGAUCAGCCACACUGGAACUGAGACACGGUCCAGACUCCUACGGGAGGCAGCAGUGGGAAUUUUGGACAAUGGGGCAACCCUGAUCCAGCCAUUCCGCGUGAGUGAAGAAGGCCU